rnacentral:lncRNA from 1 species
AUUCACCUGAUGCUAAGAAAGGUGAGAAUUUGACUCUAGUUACUCUCAACACCUCUCCCACUUGCUCUCACUUCUCCACAUCUCCCAAAAUAGUUACAUAACUUUUGUGAAACCUGUUUUCAAGUUUUCCAUUAUUAUGCCCAUGUGAAUAUUACUCUCGGCUGAGCCACAUGGUGUAUAACUUCUCCUUCCUGUCUCAGCAUUUCUGAGGGGCAGUGUAACAGGCAAUAAGAGCGCUGACCCUGAACGCUGGCUCAUAUCUCAUUUUCUCCAUUACUAACUGGGGUGACCAUGGGCAAGAAUUGCAACUUCUCUGUGCCUCAGCUUUUUCAUAAUAGUAGCUGCUCCACAAGAAUUCUAUAAGAUGACACUCUCACCAGUGCCAUGACAGUUGAUAAUCACCAUGACAACAACUGGAAGAAGUCAUAAAAGGAAAAAAGGAAGACAGCACUACUGGUUCAGAGAAGUUUACCACCCUAUUCUGGAAAAGGCAUGAAUAUUGCUCCCUUUGCUUUUACUGUACAAACCCUUCAUUAAAGAGACUCUAUAUUUUAACCUCGUCAUCCUUCACUAGUUGAGAAGUUGAUUUGCAAGCCACAUUCCCACUUCUCUAUUCCCUGGCUAUUGAAUAAAUCUUGCUUUGCUUGAUGCUCACUUUUGGUUUCAUGUAUUUGCUCUGCAAUACGUAAUUGGAAACAUCCCAUCUUUUGGGGCUACCGGGCUUUUUAGUAAUAUUUUGCUUUUAUAGAAACUUGGAACUCCAAUUCCUGGGCCUUUCCCCAGUUCAGUGACAUGAAUUGCUUAUGUCUUAGUGUCUUUCUCUCUUCUCCCCUACAGGCACAUAGGUUUCCUCACUCUGUUAAGUCAAUGUUCACUCUUCCUUUUAAUUUUCUUCUUCAAUUUUUGUGGAUAUCUUCAUUUGCUUCCAUCUUCUGUAAUGUUUUCUUUGUUUCUCUGUGUUAUACUUUAUUAUUAUUUAUUUGCUUAUCAUGCUCUAGCCUCAUUUUAAUUGGCUUCCAGGGGAGACUAGAGAUAAACAUAUGUGUUCAGACUAUUAUGCUUAACCUGAAGUCUGUAACAUUUUUCAAUAAACACUUUUAAAAUUCAGAACAUUUAUUCAGUGCCUACUAUAUGUCAAGCUCUUGGCUGAGAAGCUGCUCCUUGAAUUUUUAGUGUUUACAAUGAUUAUUGAAAAUAUAUUUCAGGCUUCAUUAAACCAAGCUCCUUAUGUAUUUCUGCCAAGUAAUAAAUAUAUUAAGUAAGUGA